GGAUAAUUGGUGUAGUGGCUAACAUAGCCCCCUGUCCAGGGGCCGACAAGGGUUCGAUUCCCUUAUUAUCCG
rnacentral:tRNA from 1 species